rnacentral:lncRNA from 1 species
CGGAGGCGGAGCAGAGUCACGACUCACGAUUUGGGUACUGGGAUUUUGGGUUAGGGCACUAGGGCAGAGAGUGAGAGAUGAGAGAUCAGAUAGGCAGAUAGUGAGAGAUCUCUAAGAUAACAAUCGAGAGAUGGGAGAUAUGAGGCCUGAGAGUAUCGAUAGUGUGAGAUGAAAGAUGAGAGAUGAGAGAUUACUAUAUUUGUUUUAUGUUUUAAGGCUUUAAUUAUUUUUUUGAGAUUACUGUGUUUGUUUUUGUGUUUUAACUUUUAAGGCUUUAUUUUUUUUAUUUCUUAUUCGGCUAACUAAAUUUUAAAAAACAAAUUUGAAUCCGAAA